rnacentral:lncRNA from 1 species
CCUUACACGGGUUCAAUAGGAGAUCAAAAGGAGGAGGGAGAGAAGGCUCCUCUUAAAUGUAGCCCCUUUCUCAUUCCUCCGCCCACCAGAGGGUCUCCUUACCUACAGGUAGUCCCAGGAUGUGAUGGGCUGAAGAUCAGAUUAAGAAAAGAGAAUGCAGGAGAAUUGUAGGGAAACUUGAAUUCUGAUUCAUCUAGUAGAAAGGGAAACAGAAACUCCAGCAAGAACCCACACAUCCUGCCCCGUGGCUGACAUUCCCUGAGCCCUGACACCUAGAGAUAACUACCAAAGGGAGAUCUGUCCAGCAGAAACCCCAACCUCAGCUGCAUCCAUCCAGCUGCUACCUGGGAAUGUCCAGGUGUCCCUGGCAGCCCUCAGCAUGGUAGUGUGACAUGUGGGAGUCAGCCAGUCUCUGUUCUUUGGUAAGUCCAUCUUCUAUCUUUUAGUUGCAGAAAUGUAUUAACCAUGCUAUUUUCUCUUUCUGUGUCAGUCUCUUGAUUUGUAAAGAGAAAUAAUAAUGGUUGUUGUGAGGAUCCCAUGACUGUAAAUGGUAUAUAAAAGUUAACUGUUUUAUUGGGUGUAAUUGCUUCAUAUUUGAUAAGUUGACAUGGGUUUUUAUAUGUGAUAUAAUGCCAAUAUUGAGAUAAAUGAUUUUCUAUGUAAGGUAUUUUGGAAGCAUAUUCAACUAAAUUAAGGUCACCUGCUUGGUGAUUAAUGGGAUCCCAAAACCUAGGAUCCCAAGGCGAAGGAGGAUAAAUAGUACACAGAGGAAAGAAAAGGUUUGUGUAACUUUGGAAAAAGUCAGAAGGAUAACUGAGUUUGAUUGGAACAUCUAGUUAGAAUUUAGACAUCUUAUGAACUAAAGUUAAUGUCAAUAUAACUUUUAAAAUUGGUGUGUAUGUGUUAAAAUUGGAAACUUGAAUGUAAAUUAUAUAAUUCCUUCCCAUUUUUGUAAUAGAUUAUAUUUUAUCUGAUUUUUAAGAAUUGUCUUAUUUUGUCCCUAAAAAUGAAAGAACUUAUUUAAGGGAACAGAAGAGGGAAGCUCAAGGCCUCCUGAGAAUUCCCAGAUAUACAAUGGCUUGGGAGAGUCAAUAAAUACUAAUUGAUAAGUAAUAGAUUCUUUCUGAGAUUGUAGAAUUCAGAUUUGACUUGUUAUCCACUAACUUAAAUGUUAAAGUAUGAACUGAACAACUAAAAGAAGAUAGAAACUUUGUUUAAAAAUGUUAUGUUAUUAUAUUGUAUUUAACACAUACUUUAACAUAUUUAACAUGUAUUAUUAGUCAACCUGCUGAAAAAUUACCCAUGCAUAUAUCUUGUAAAUAAAAAGCUAUAAUAAAAAAAGUUAUGUUAUUUUACUAGCCUUGCUAAAUC